AGUAACGGCGAGUGAAGCGGCAACAGCUCAAAUUUGAAAUCUGGCCCCCAGGGCCCGAGUUGUAAUUUGCAGAGGAUGCUUUUGGCGCGGUGCCUUCCGAGUUCCCUGGAACGGGACGCCAUAGAGGGUGAGAGCCCCGUCUGGUCGGACACCAAGCCAGUGUAAAGCUCCUUCGACGAGUCGAGUAGUUUGGGAAUGCUGCUCUAAAUGGGAGGUAUAUGUCUUCUAAAGCUAAAUACCGGCCAGAGACCGAUAGCGCACAAGUAGAGUGAUCGAAAGAUGAAAAGCACUUUGAAAAGAGGGUUAAACAGUACGUGAAAUUGUUGAAAGGGAAGCGUUUAUGACCAGACUUGGGCCCGGUGAAUCAUCCAGCGUUCUCGCUGGUGCACUUUGCCGGGCUCAGGCCAGCAUCAGUUCGUCGCGGGGGAUAAAAGCUUCGGGAACGUGGCUCCCUCGGGAGUGUUAUAGCCCGUUGCACAAUACCCUGCGGUGGACUGAGGUUCGCGCUCCGCAAGGAUGCUGGCGUAAUGGUCAUCAGCGACCCGUCUUGAAACACGGACCAAGGAGUCGUCUUCGUAUGCGAGUGUUCGGGUGUCAAACCCCUACGCGUAAUGAAAGUGAACGCAGGUGAGAGCUUCGGCGCAUCAUCGACCGAUCCUGAUGUUCUCGGAUGGAUUUGAGUAAGAGCAUACGGGGCCGGACCCGAAAGAAGGUGAACUAUGCCUGUAUAGGGUGAAGCCAGAGGAAACUCUGGUGGAGGCUCGCAGCGGUUCUGACGUGCAAAUCGAUCGUCAAAUAUGGGCAUGGGGG
rnacentral:rRNA from 1 species